UGAAAGAAAAACUGUAAGAGAAAACUUCUUCAAGAAAGAGAGGUGACUGAGCAAUGGAGAAGCUGGAUAAUGUAACAGUAUCUGUCCUUAAAGGUUAUAUUUGAUAAUACAUUUGUGUGUAUCUGUGUGUGUAUGUAUAUGUGUAUAUAUAACAGUUUUGUUUGUGCAGUUAUGUGCUUGCACAGUUUAACUGGUGUUUGUCUUUUUGUUAGCUGCAAGCAUUGACGAGCGCAUGCUUUUAACAUUGACCCGUGAUGAUCUGAGGGACCUUUUUUCUGGGCCUGAGCACUUUCUCAGAAGAAAACAUGUGUGGUCAAUAAUUCAUCCUGAGGAAGACCAUCCGCUACCACAGAAACCUGAAACAACUUCUUCACCCAGG
ensembl:lncRNA